CCUACGGGAGGCUGCAGUGAGGAAUAUUGGUCAAUGGACGAGAGUCUGAACCAGCCAAGUAGCGUGAAGGAUGACUGCCCUAUGGGUUGUAAACUUCUUUUAUAUGGGAAUAAAACGUUCCACGUGUGGGAUUUUGUAUGUACCAUAUGAAUAAGGAUCGGCUAACUCCGUGCCAGCAGCCGCGGUAAUACGGAGGAUCCGAGCGUUAUCCGGAUUUAUUGGGUUUAAAGGGAGCGUAGGUGGAUUGUUAAGUCAGUUGUGAAAGUUUGCGGCUGAACCGUAAAAUUGCAGUUGAAACUGGCAGUCUUGAGUACAGUAGAGGUGGGCGGAAUUCGUGGUGUAGCGGUGAAAUGCUUAGAUAUCACGAAGAACUCCGAUUGCGAAGGCAGUUCACUGGACUGCAACUGACACUGAGGCUCGAAAGUGUGGGUAUCAAACAGGAUUAGAUACCCUUGUAGUC
rnacentral:rRNA from 1 species